AUCAUUUGAGAGGCAGGAAAGGCACCCUACGCUCCUUAGGGAACCUGAUAUGAUGGAUGCGCCGCCCAUCCAAGUGUU
rnacentral:ncRNA from 1 species